rnacentral:rRNA from 1 species
AUUGAACGCUGGCGGCAGGCUUAACACAUGCAAGUCGAGCGGGGAAAGGUAGCUUGCUACCUGACCUAGCGGCGGACGGGUGAGUAAUGCUUAGGAAUCUGCCUAUUAGUGGGGGACAACAUUCCGAAAGGAAUGCUAAUACCGCAUACGCCCUACGGGGGAAAGCAGGGGAUCUUCGGACCUUGCGCUAAUAGAUGAGCCUAAGUCAGAUUAGCUAGUUGGUGGGGUAAAGGCCUACCAAGGCGACGAUCUGUAGCGGGUCUGAGAGGAUGAUCCGCCACACUGGGACUGAGACACGGCCCAGACUCCUACGGGAGGCAGCAGUGGGGAAUAUUGGACAAUGGGCGAAAGCCUGAUCCAGCCAUGCCGCGUGUGUGAAGAAGGCCUUUUGGUUGUAAAGCACUUUAAGCGAGGAGGAGGCUACUUGGAUGAAUACUCUAGGAUAGUGGACGUUACUCGCAGAAUAAGCACCGGCUAACUCUGUGCCAGCCGCCGCAGUAACAC